rnacentral:rRNA from 1 species
GUGCCAGCCGCCGCGGUAAUACGUAGGGCGCAAGCGUUGUCCGGAAUUAUUGGGCGUAAAGAGCUCGUAGGCGGUUCGUCGCGUCUGCCGUGAAAGCCCGAGGCUCAACCUCGGGUCUGCGGUGGGUACGGGCGGACUAGAGUGUGGUAGGGGAGACUGGAAUUCCUGGUGUAGCGGUGGAAUGCGCAGAUAUCAGGAGGAACACCAAUGGCGAAGGCAGGUCUCUGGGCCACAACUGACGCUGAGGAGCGAAAGCGUGGGUAGCGAACAGGAUUAGAUACCCUUGUAGUCC